UCCGGUGGCGAUGGCGGAAAGGUCACACCCGUUCCCAUCCCGAACACGGAAGUUAAGCUUUCCAG
rnacentral:rRNA from 1 species